rnacentral:rRNA from 1 species
GACGAACGCUGGCGGCGUGCUUAACACAUGCAAGUCGAACGGAAAGGCCCCCUUGUGGGGUACUCGAGUGGCGAACGGGUGAGUAACACGUGAGUAACCUACCCUUGACUUUGGGAUAACUUCAGGAAACUGGGGCUAAUACCGGAUAGGAACUCCUGCUGCAUGGUGGGGGUUGGAAAGUUUCGGCGGUUGGGGAUGGACUCGCGGCUUAUCAGCUUGUUGGUGGGGUAGUGGCUCACCAAGGCUUUGACGGGUAGCCGGCCUGAGAGGGUGACCGGCCACAUUGGGACUGAGAUACGGCCCAGACUCCUACGGGAGGCAGCAGUGGGGAAUAUUGCACAAUGGGCGGAAGCCUGAUGCAGCAACGCCGCGUGCGGGAUGACGGCCUUCGGGUUGUAAACCGCUUUCGCCUGUGACGAAGCGUGAGUGACGGUAAUGGGUAAAGAAGCACCGGCUAACUACGUG